UACGAAGGGGACUAGCGUUGUUCGGAAUCACUGGGCGUAAAGCGCACGUAGGCGGAUUUGUAAGUCAGGGGUGAAAUCCCGGGGCUCAACCUCGGAACUGCCUUUGAUACUGCAAAUCUCGAGUCCGGAAGAGGUGAGUGGAAUUCCUAGUGUAGAGGUGAAAUUCGUAGAUAUUAGGAAGAACACCAGUGGCGAAGGCGGCUCACUGGUCCGGUACUGACGCUGAGGUGCGAAAGCGUGGGGAGCAAACAGGG
rnacentral:rRNA from 1 species